rnacentral:rRNA from 1 species
GAUGAACGCUGGCGGCGUGCCUAAUACAUGCAAGUCGAGCGAACAGAUGAGGAGCUUGCUCCUCUGACGUUAGCGGCGGACGGGUGAGUAACACGUGGAGAACCUACCUAUAAGACUGGGAUAACUUCGGGAAACCGGAGCUAAUACCGGAUAAUAUAUUGAACCGCAUGGUUCAAUAGUGAAAGACGGUUUUGCUGUCACUUAUAGAUGGAUCCGCGCCGCAUUAGCUAGUUGGUAAGGUAACGGCUUACCAAGGCAACGAUGCGUAGCCGACCUGAGAGGGUGAUCGGCCACACUGCAACUGAGACACGGUCCAGACUCCUACGGGAGGCAGCAGUAGGGAAUCUUCCGCAAUGGGCGAAAGCCUGACGGAGCAACGCCGCGUGAGUAAUGAAGGUCUUCGGAUCGUAAAACUCUGUUAUUAGGGAAGAACAAAUGUGUAAGUAACUAUGCACGUCUUGACGGUACCUAAUCAGAAAGCCACGGCUAACUACGUG